UCAAUACAAGGCUCUUCCCCUUUUGUUUGGCAUGGCAAGUUUAUGGAGCUUGGCUUACUAGUCAUGAUCUCUAACUUGUGUUCUUUGCCUAUAUUUUUAUUGACCGACCUCAAAUAGGUGUGGCUGCUACAUUAGUCCAUUUACGAUUGCUUAACAUAGUGCUACAUUAUCUUAUGACAAGCUAACAUAACUUUACUAACUACUAAC
rnacentral:lncRNA from 1 species